UUUUUUUUUUUUUUUUUUUGUUAAAAAUAAACUAAAUUGAACAUCCCAAUAAAAAUUCAGGGGUGAAGUUGAGCAUUAAGCCCAUAAUUCAAAUAUCUUUUAAGGUUCUUGAAAAUAUAAACGUGACCUCCACUCCUGUAAGGCUGAACGUAAUGUGUGGUUUGGGGUUAACAUAGAAUUCUGAAGCCUAAGCUUUGUCACUGGUGACACACUGUGCCUCUGAAGCCACGCCUUAAUAGCUCUAUGCUCGUAUGUGAAACCAUCAGAAGCAAUGUAUGGAUCAUCCAUUAUUUCCUGAAGAAUUGGACAGAAGUAGUGGCUUGGUGCGUAGGUAUUGGGUCCUUCCACCUUUACACUAGCAGCUGCUACACCUGCAAGCCUUCUAAGAACUGGCAGAACUUCAGUAUCAAGAUCAGGUCUGUCCC
rnacentral:misc_RNA from 1 species